UAGAGUUUGGUGUAAAGGAAGCACUGCGAGUUUUGAUCUCUCUGGCAGAGGUUCGACUCCUCUAACUUCUAG
rnacentral:tRNA from 1 species